UGAGAUGUUGGGUUAAGUCCCGUAACGAGCGCAACCCUUGCCUUAGUUACCAGCACGUUAUGGUGGGCACUCUAAGGAGACUGCCGGUGACAAACCGGAGGAAGGUGGGGAUGACGUCAAGUCAUCAUGGCCCUUACGGCCUGGGCUACACACGUGCUACAAUGGUCGGUACAAAGGGUUGCCAAGCCGCGAGGUGGAGCUAAUCCCAUAAAACCGAUCGUAGUCCGGAUCGCAGUCUGCAACUCGACUGCGUGAAGUCGGAAUCGCUAGUAAUCGUGAAUCAGAAUGUCACGGUGAAUACGUUCCCGGGCCUU
rnacentral:rRNA from 1 species